GUGUCAGCAGCCGCGGUAAUACAGAGGGUGCAAGCGUUGUCCGGAAUCACUGGGCGUAAAGGGCGCGUAGGCGGCCUGAUAAGUCGGGGGUGAAAUUCUGCGGCUUAACCGCAGGACGGCCUUCGAGACUGUCGGGCUUGAGCACGGUAGAGGCUGGUGGAAUUCCCGGUGUAGCGGUGGAAUGCGUAGAGAUCGGGAAGAACAUCGGUGGCGAAGGCGGCCAGCUGGGCCGUUGCUGACGCUGAGGCGCGACAGCGUGGGGAGCAAACAGGAUUAGAUACCCCCGUAGUCC
rnacentral:rRNA from 1 species